GAUCAUGGCUCAGGAUGAACGCUAGCUACAGGCUUAACACAUGCAAGUCGAGGGGCAUCAGGGUGUAGCAAUACACCGCUGGCGACCGGCGCACGGGUGAGUAACACGUAUCCAACCUGCCCUUUACUCGGGGAUAGCCUUUCGAAAGAAAGAUUAAUACCCGAUGGUAUAACAUGACCUCCUGGUUUUGUUAUUAAAGAAUUUCGGUAGAGGAUGGGGGUGCGUUCCAUUAGGCAGUUGGCGGGGUAACGGCCC
rnacentral:rRNA from 1 species